rnacentral:rRNA from 1 species
AUUGCACGCUGGCGGCAGUCCUAACACAUGCAAGUCGAACGAGUGGCGGACGGGUGAGUAAUGUCUGGGAAACUGCCCGAUGGAGGGGGAUAACUACUGGAAACGGUAGCUAAUACCGCAUCCCAUCGGAUGUGCCCAGAUGGGAUUAGCUAGUAGGUGGGGUAACGGCUCACCUAGGCGACGAUCCCGAGCUGGUCUGAGAGGAUGACCAGCCACACUGGAACUGAGACACGGUCCAGACUCCUACGGUAGGCAGCAGUGGGGAAUAUUGCACAAUGGGCGCAAGCCUGAUGCAGCCAUGCAGCGUGUAUGAAGAAGGCCUUCGGGUUGUAAAGUACUUUCAGCGAGGAGGCGUUACUCGCAGAAGAAGCACCGGCUAACGCCGUGCCAGCAGCCGCGGUAAUUC